rnacentral:lncRNA from 1 species
UUCUCUGGAAACAAGUUAGAUUUGCCCUUAAUAAGAAUUUAAGGCACUUGGCCACCAUUUCUGGACUUUGAGGCUAACAUCAGAUGUCACUUCAAACACCCUUGGUGCCACUGUCAGAAUCAGAAUUUGGGGACAGGGUUGAUACCAGAAGUAGACCCAUGUGUUGGUCUGCCAUCUUGAUUUAGAGUUCUCUGGAGGGAUACUUAUAAAAUGGUUUACAAGUAAUUUACAUAUGGCUAGUUGAUUGUCAUUCAUAAAUCAAACAAAAUACAGCUGUGUGAUGAUUAAUUGGUAAGUAAUCAUCCUGUACUCUGGGAAUCUUUUAAUAA